rnacentral:rRNA from 1 species
UACAGAGGGCGAGCGUUGUUCGGAAUACUGGCGUAAGGCGCGUAGGCGGCCAACUAAGUCAGACGUGAAUCCUCGGCUCAACCGGGAACUGCGUCUGAUACUGGAUGGCUUGAAUUCGGAGAGGAUGCGGAAUUCCAGUGUAGCGGUGAAUGACGUAGAUAUCUGGAGGAACACCGGUGGCGAAGGCGGCAUCCUGGACCGAGAUGACGCUGAUGCGCGAAAGCCAGGGAG